UUCAGUCUUUGUGUCUCUGCACCAGACAGAACUGUUCCGGUUGUUUCUUUGUUGUUUUGUUAUUCAGUGUUCAGUUUUCACUAAAUAAGAUGAACUCUUACAACGCUGUGCUUUGGUCCUCAACUUCUUCCACCGACAACACCUGUUACAAGAGUGCAAAGGACACGAACAAACUAAGUCCCCUCCUGUUCCCUGAUUUAAGAGGUGAUGACGAGUCAACUUUCUCCUGACGUGAACUGACGCCAAGACGUCUCAUGUGUCCGCUCAUCCACUGGCACAUUGAAUGUUUCCCUUCCAAGCACUUCAAAUCCUGUCCUGCACUGGUCAAGCCUCUGAACACCUCAACUCAUGUCUCAUACCCUCAUUCGAUCCCUGCUGUGAUCCCUUUCCCACAUGGUGGAAGUAGCACCCUCCUUCCCCUUCCCCGUGAUAUUGUACUAUACAUGUCUUUAUUAAAUGCUUUAGGUUAA